GAGCGCAACCCCUAUUCGUUAGUUGCCAUCAUUCAGUUGGGCACUCUAGCGAGACUGCCGGUAAUAAACCGGAGGAAGGUGGGGAGUGACGUCAAUCAUCAUGCCCUUAUGACCUGGGCUACACACGUGCUACAAUGGUUGGUACAACGAGUUGCGAGUCGGUGACGGCGAGCUAAUCUCUUAAAGCCAAUCUCAGUUCGGAUUGUAGGCUGCAACUCGCCUACAUGAAGUCGGAAUCGCUAGUAAUCGCGGAUCAGCACGCCGCGGUGAAUACGUUCCCGGGCCUU
rnacentral:rRNA from 1 species